AAGAUCAAAGACAGCUACAGUGAUCUCUCCCAGACCCUGAAGCAGAGUGGCCAAGCCACUAGAGACCUCAAGCUCCUGGAAUGGGCCUACCUUCCUGCUCCCAGGGUCCUGGCUUGUUCUGCACCCCAAAACCCGAUAGACCUAGGACUGCUCCUCACUGUGUCCAAAUGCUGAAGCUGCUGCUGCUGACAUUGCCCCUCCUGUGCAGUCUGGUGCAUGCAGCCCCUGGUCCAGCUCAGCCACGAGAGGGCAUUGUGGGGGGACAGGAGGCACCUGAGAACAGGUGGCCCUGGCAGGUGAGCAUGCGUGUAUACGACAACUACUGGAGGCAUCAUUGUGGCGGCUCCCUCAUCCACCCACAGUGGGUGCUCACGGCGGCACACUGUGUGGGACCGGCUAUCAUUGUCCCCAACAUGGUCAGAGUAACACUCGGAAAUAAGUACCUCUAUGACAAUGAGACCCUGCUGACUGUGAGCAAAAUUAUCCCACACCCGGACUUCUACACCUUCCAGAAUGGGGCAGACAUUGCCCUGCUGAAACUCACAAACCCUGUGAACAUUUCCAGCAACGUCAGCCUUGUCUCUCUGCCUCCUGCCUCCACAACCUUCCCCUCAGGAACAUGGUGCUGGGCGACAGGCUGGGGCGACAUUGCAAAAAAUGUACACCUGCCUUAUCCAUUUCCUUUGCUGGAAGUACAAGUUCCCAUUGUAGGAAACCGCCUCUGUGACUUGAUGUUUCAUAAAGGUCUCAGCACAGGUGACCAUAUCCGCAUUGUCCAUGAUGACAUGCUCUGUGCUGGGAAAGAAGGGCGUGGCAUUUGUCAGGGCGACUCCGGAGGACCUCUGGUCUGCUAUGGAAAAAACACCUGGCUGCAGGCAGGUGUGGUGAGCUGGGAAAGGGGUUGCAGCCAGAGCAUCUGGCCUUCUGUCUACACCCGGGUCACCUAUUACCUGAACUGGAUCCACCGCUAUGUCCCCAGGGACUUCUGAGUCGAAUCCAGGGUGACCUCUGUUGCUCCCAACAUGCUGCUUCCUGCCCAGGUGGCAUCCCUGCCUUCCUCUCCUGCUCCCCAUCCUGAGCCCCAACUCUGCUCUACCUAAGCCCCUGACCACCCAUGUCCUCCCACUCUGGUAGCUACGCUGUGCAGGCGGCCACUCUCUGCUGUGGCUCAAUAAAAUGCAUUAAAGCUGC